AUUGAACGCUGGCGGCAGGCCUAACACAUGCAAGUCGAACGAGUGGCGGACGGGUGACUAAUGUCUGGGAAACUGCCUGAUGGAGGGGGAUAACUACUGGAAACGGUAGCUACUACCGCAUACCAUCAGAUGUGCCCAGUUGGGUUUAGCUUGUGGGUGGGGUAACGGCUCACCAAGGCGACGAUCCCUAGCUGGUCUGAGAGGAUGACCAGCCACACUGGAACUGUGACACGGUCCAGACUCCUACGUGAGGCAGCAGUGGGGAAUAUUGGACAAUGGGCGCAAGCCUGAUGCAGCCAUGCCGCGUGUGUGAAGAAGGCCUUCGGAUUGUAAAGUACUUUCAGCGGGGAGGCGUUACCCGCAGAAGAAGCACCGGCUAACUCCGUGCCAGCAGCCGCGGUAAUAC
rnacentral:rRNA from 1 species